AUUGAACGCUGGCGGCAUGCUUUACACAUGCAAGUCGAACGGCAGCACGGGGGCAACCCUGGUGGCGAGUGGCGAACGGGUGAGUAAUAUAUCGGAACGUACCCGGAAAUGGGGGAUAACGUAGCGAAAGUUACGCUAAUACCGCAUAUUCUGUGAGCAGGAAAGCAGGGGAUCGCAAGACCUUGCGCUGAUUGAGCGGCCGAUAUCAGAUUAGCUAGUUGGUGGGGUAAAAGCUCACCAAGGCGACGAUCUGUAGCGGGUCUGAGAGGAUGAUCCGCCACACUGGAACUGAGACACGGUCCAGACUCCUACGGGAGGCUG
rnacentral:rRNA from 1 species